rnacentral:lncRNA from 1 species
GAGUAUUUAACUUCAAAAUUUUGUGCUAAUAUAUGAGGAAAAAAAAUAGAUAUUCAUAGGUAAAAGGUGUUGCUUCAGAAAAAAAACAAUGGUUCGUGAAGAGAUGUUCAGAACGUUGGACCCAUUUGCGGAGCCAUACGUGUCCAUGUCCAAAUGUGGCCGCAUGUCAUUCUUUCUACAAAACAGAAAGUUGACGUUUGAUUUGCGUUGGCA